GGAGAGGUGCCGGAGCGGUCGAACGGGCACGACUGGAAAUCGUGUGUCCUCCGGAAGGGGGACCGUGGGUUCGAAUCCCACCCUCUCCG
rnacentral:tRNA from 1 species